rnacentral:tRNA from 1 species
ACUCAAAUAACUUAAGAAGAGUAUAAUAUUGAAGCUAUUAAGGUGAUUUAAUAAUCUUUGAGUA